GGGUCAGACUCUAAAGGACCUCCUAGGUGAUGUACUGAGCAUGUGCUUUGUCCUAGAGGCAAGGCAGGGGUGGCACAGGGUCAAGGUCAUUUCUGGGACACUGAACAUGGGAAUCACUGGGAGCAAAGCCCUACAAAGGGAAAUGGUAAGAAGGCAAGGUGGACAGCAGGUUACUGCAAACAUCCAGAGGACAGCUGGUGAAUGCCAAGAGCCAGCAGGCCAGUAGGAAAGGAGGGCAGCAGAGAGCCAAGGAGGCACCACCAUGAUUAAGCAUACAGGCAAGUAAUAAGCAAGGGCAGGAUCAAAGCCAGGCGAGAAAACCAAGGAGGCCCUGAGCAUUUGACGAUGCUGGCUCUCAGCAGGCAUUCUGGCUGCAGUAAAGCUCACCGCUCUAGCUGCACUACACCACUGUUCCCACAGAGGGAAGGCCUAGGAAGUCCCAA